rnacentral:siRNA from 1 species
UUGCUUGCCGACUUUAAUCUCUA